GCGCUGGGUGAGAGUAAACUACCGAGGGCGGCUGAAACAAUUAGCCUACUUGUUCAUUAAUUUAAUGUCUGUAACAUUACCCUUGACGGGGCGCAGGCUGGAGCCUACGUUAGCUGUCAUCUGGCCGCGCUACACUCUGGACAAGUCGCCAGUUCAUUGUAGAGCAACGGUUCCUAGAGUAGCUAUAACUGAACGUUACUAGGGGCUACUACAGUGACUGUGUGUUUCACACAUAUCACUGUCGGACAGUGCUCCAGUAUGCGCCCAUUCAGAGGCUGCAUUGAAUUGUAUUAUGACGCAUUCAAGUUCUACUCAGUAAUUAUGACCAUCUGACGAAGGUCAGUUACGUUAUCAUGAUGUGUUCAAUGUGGUCUUGUAAAAUGUGUAUUAGUGGGACAUUUGAAUAGCCUAAAUACAAAAAAGUUAAAUGUUCAAAGAUUUGUUUGUUUUCAUAGCAGUAUAAAAUAAAAGACACCAUAAUAGCUGACAACAACAAAGUAAAAAAGACUAUUUAGAGUUGUGGACAGUUUACACUGACUUUUGAAUGGUUUAAGAAUAUUUUUUGCCUGGGAAAGUGAAGCUGUCCACCUCGAGCUAUGGUACUAAGAAGCCCAUUUAGAUUUUGUCCAAGAAUAGGUUAGUUCUGCAUCAGUUUCUCCAUGAAACAUAACAUAUAAUGUUUACAAUAUAUAUAAUGGAACAAUAAACCUUUAUGCUCUGCUGCACUAGAAUCAGCAGUGGCUGCUUCAUCUGAGUUUGACCCCACAGCAGUCGCUCAGCCCAGCAGUCCAAUGAUGCCUUUGAUGGCACCGUCAAGAAUACUGAAAAACAAGAAAAUUGAAGGUGGCAAUGAAUGGGGUAGAGGGGCCCACACCGAUAUUCUUUCAGGGGGCCCAGAAUUCCUAGCAACUGCCCUGAUCCAGAUUGCCAGUAUCUGUUUGCGUUCACAUUUAAAGGCCGGCACCUGACCUGGACCCGCUUGCCACAGGGCUUCGUUGAUAGUCCCAAAGUACAUACUGUAGUGUUGAGAGGUGAUCUGCAGGAAUUGAUCUUCUCUGGUGGAAGUGCUCUGUUGCAAUACGCGGAUGAUUUGUUGAUUGAGUCUCUAUCUAAAGAGGCCUGCCACAUUGAUUGUUUUGUUGUUGAAAAGACUGGCUGAGUGCGGCCACAAAAGCUCUUUACAAAAAUUGCAUUAU
rnacentral:lncRNA from 1 species